rnacentral:rRNA from 1 species
UACGUAGGGUGCGAGCGUUGUCCGGAAUUACUGGGCGUAAAGAGCUCGUAGGUGGUUUGUCGCGUUGUCCGUGAAAACUCACAACUCAAUUGUGGGCGUGCGGGCGAUACGGGCAGACUGGAGUACUGCAGGGGAGACUGGAAUUCCUGGUGUAGCGGUGGAAUGCGCAGAUAUCAGGAGGAACACCGGUGGCGAAGGCGGUGGUCUGGGCCGGCACUGACGCUGAGGAGCGAAAGCGUGGGGAGCGAACAGG